rnacentral:lncRNA from 1 species
GGAUAAGGUAUACAGGUGUUUGGUGGAGCUGGGAUGAAGUAUACAGAUUUUGGUGGGGCUGGGAUGAAGUAUACAGGUUUUGGUGGGGCUGGGAUGAAGUAUACAGGUUUUGGUGGGGCUGGGGUGAAGUAUACAGGUUUUGGUGGGGCUGGGGUGAAGUAUACAGGUUUUGGUGGGGCUGGGUUGAAG